CAGCAGCCGCGGUAAUACGUAGGUGGCAAGCGUUGUCCGGAAUUAUUGGGCGUAAAGGGCUCGCAGGCGGUUUCUUAAGUCUGAUGUGAAAGCCCCCGGCUCAACCGGGGAGGGUCAUUGGAAACUGGGAAACUUGAGUGCAGAAGAGGAGAGUGGAAUUCCACGUGUAGCGGUGAAAUGCGUAGAGAUGUGGAGGAACACCAGUGGCGAAGGCGACUCUCUGGUCUGAAACUGACGCUGAGGCGCGAAAGCGUGGGGAGCAAACAGGAUUAGAUACCCGCGUAGUCCCUGUCUCUUAUAC
rnacentral:rRNA from 1 species